rnacentral:rRNA from 1 species
UGGGGAAUUUUGGACAAUGGGCGCAAGCCUGAUCCAGCAAUGCCGCGUGCAGGAUGAAGGCCUUCGGGUUGUAAACUGCUUUUGUACGGAGCGAAAAGGUCUGCCCUAAUACGGUGGGCUCAUUACGGUACCGUAAGAAUAAGCACCGGCUAACUACGUGCCAGCAGCCGCGGUAAUACGUAGGGUGCGAGCGUUAAUCGGAAUUACUGGGCGUAAAGCGUGCGCAGGCGGUUAUAUAAGACAGAGGUGAAAUCCCCGGGCUCAACCUGGGAACUGCCUUUGUGACUGCAUAGCUAGAGUACGGUAGAGGGGGAUGGAAUUCCGCGUGUAGCAGUGAAAUGCGUAGAUAUGCGGAGGAACACCGAUGGCGAAGACAAUCCCCUGGACCUGUACUGACGCUCAUGCACGAAAGCGUGGGGAGCAAACA